rnacentral:rRNA from 1 species
CGGCCGCGUCGACGCAGGUUACCCGCGACAGGACGGAAAGACCCCGUGGAGCUUUACUGUAGCCUGAUAUUGAAAUUCGGCACAGCUUGUACAGGAUAGGUAGGAGCCUUUGAAACGUGAGCGCUAGCUUACGUGGAGGCGUUGGUGGGAUACUACCCUAGCUGUGUUGGCUUUCUAACCCGCACCACUUAUCGUGGUGGGAGACAGUGUCAGGCGGGCAGUUUGACUGGGGCGGUCGCCUCCUAAAAGGUAACGGAGGCGCUCAAAGGUUCCCUCAGAAUGGUUGGAAAUCAUUCAUAGAGUGUAAAGGCAUAAGGGAGCUUGACUGCGAGACCUACAAGUCGAGCAGGGUCGAAAGACGGACUUAGUGAUCCGGUGGUUCCGCAUGGAAGGGCCAUCGCUCAACGGAUAAAACGCUACCCC